AUUGCCCAGUUUAUUCAUGAUAUGUGUUUUCAUUACAAUGUAAACCAAUCUUAUCUCAAACAUUUGGAGGUUAAUGGUCCUGGGAAUACACAGGGGAAGCAAUAUUCUGACAGUUUCAGAUGGCAUGGAGCUAUCACUCCUUAGAACAAGAUAAAUAAUAAUAAUAAUGAAAAUCAGUGUUGUAAUUUAAUCUUCACAGUUUUCAAUAUAAAAAUCAAUGUUAUUUUAUCAAAAUCACAGUAUAUCUAAAUGGUUAUUGCCUUCUUCAUCUGACUGCUCCUAAGAAUUUUAGCUAACUUCUUAAACAUGUUUGUUAUCAAGAAUUGUUUGCCAGCCGUAUUCUAAUCUAUAAAUAUGUAAAGUAUAUAGAAUCUUUCUUUUAAGUACAUGAAGAUGAUUCAGUUUAAUAUGUUAGGUUUCAUCUACAUUCAAAAUAUUUAGAUACACCAGAAUUCCCCUAAGUGAAAGAUAGUUUUAAAAUUUAUAGCCCAUGUAUUUUCCAGUUAAGCAAUAUAUGUUUUAAUAUAUAUAUAUGUAUAUAUAUUCUAAGAUAAUGUUCAAAAUCAUACAGAAAGGAUGGGAAGUUCACUUGUAUCAUUUCUUACUGCAUGCUUUAGUUUCUUUAAAUGUGAAAAUUCACAUAAAAUUGUUUUUUAAGUGGCUGCAAGAUGCUACAUUCCUAUCAUCAGUACAUGAACAUUUCAGUUGCUUCACAUCAACAACAUGUGGUAUUACCUCAUUUUUAAAAAAUUAAGAUAUUUUAGAAGGUUGGCAAUGGUAUUUCUUUGUAAAUUUGUUUCAUUUAUCUAAUAAUAAUGCAAAUGAUAUGGGUCACCUUUGUGUGCAUAAUGUCCAUAUGUCCUUCAGGAAAGUGUGUGUACGAAUCAUUGGUUCAUUAUUAUUGUUUCUCAGCUGAUUACUGAGUUGAAAAAGUUCUUUUUAAAAUCUGGAUGUAAUAAUUUAAUCAGAUAUUAUGUUUUCAAAUAUGUUCUGGUCAACAAAAUGUUUUUUUCAUUUUCUCAAGGAGGUAUGUUAAAGAGGAAACAUUUUCAGUUUUAAAAGACCAAUUUAUUGACGUGUCUUACACUUUUGGUUUGCAUUUUCUGUGAUCUAUUCAAGGACUCUUUUAUAAGCCUAAGUCAUAUAUAGGUUCUAUGUUUAAUUCUAGAAACUUUAUAGUUUUAGGUUUUGCAUUUAAUUCUAUGAUUCAUUUUGAGCUAAUUUUUUAUAAAUGUUUUGAAGUAUAGACCAAGGUUCAUUUAUUGCAUAAGGAUAUCCAAUUUUUCCCAGCAUAAUUUGUUGAAAAGCUUCCAUUCAGGGUUGUGAAGGUAUGAAAAGAAUAACUUCAAACUUUACCCUCUGAGUUCCUGUUGUAGCUCAGCAAGUUAAGAACCUGACAUAGUGUCCGUGAGAAUGCAGGAUUGAUCCCUGGCCUCAGUGGGUUAAAAAUUUGGCAUUGCUGCCAGCUGAAGUGAAGGUAAAAGAUAUGGCUCAGAUCCUGUGGGGCUGUGGUGCAAGCCCCAGCUGCAGCUCCGAUUCAAAUCCCAGCCUAGGAACUUCUGUAAGUUGCAGGUGUAGCCAUGAAAAACAAAAACAACCUUGCCCCCAGAUAGUAAGUUCAGAUUUUCUUGGAAUCUUUGCAGAUCAGAGGUCAUUGGACAACCCACUGGAUUCAUAUGUAAACGGAGGCAGAUUCUAGAAAGGAGGCGAUAGGAGUUAUUAGCAUGAGUUUACUUGGGAAAGAUGCAGCAAGAAUGAAACAGAGGCAUUGAGCAAAUGUGUGGAGGCCAAACAAGUCUGGAAAGUUACAAAUAUAGGGGAAAUCCUCUCCCUCACUUUCUUGCAGGCUUUUUCUCCAGGAACACUACUGAAUGCUAAAGAACUUUUGGGAGAAUACUGAGAAGUCCUCCACUCCUGGGCAGUAGGAAAGUAUAGCAGCUGAAAUAGAGGCACAGAAUUCCAUCUAGAUUUUUCCCCUUAUUUUUCCAUGGAAGAAUAAUUAAAAUAUUUAAUCUUGGAAAGGAAAAGUCACAAGCACUGUUGCCCAUAAGGUUGGAGACAAUGCAGCUGGCAGAAGAGAUGAAAACAAAAGAACUCUCUUUCCAGGGAAGAAGUGGAGAAACAUGCUGUACUCAGAAAUAUUCCAGGAGGUAGAGUAAGAAUAAAGCAAAGGACAGACUUGUGAGUCUCAGGGAAGUAAAGCAUGUCUGAAACUGAGGCUAAUCAGUAAAGUAGAUAUGUCAGCAACCCUUACCACCACCAGGCUACCAGUCAGCAAGUAAACUAUAACUGGUAACAAGCAGGUCCUCUCCAAUGUGAAACAUAAAAAGUAUGCUUAAUAAUGAUUAAUCUGACUUUGAAAAAAAAUAAACAGCAAAAAAAACCUUUGGUAAGUCAUUGCCAAUAUUUGCACAAAGUAUUUCAGGAAGAACCUAAAGCCUGUGUUGUACAAAGGGUAACAGCAGCAAUGAGUAUCACACCCAGGCCACCUCCUAGUUAAGUCAGUUUUGUUCCACAGUCAAAAAGGAGCAGAAGGAAAGAUGUUUCCAAGCCAAGCACAAAAAAGUUACAUCAGUUUCAAUUGUUCUAAUUAAGAUGCCUGGUUCCCAAUAAAAACAACAAAAACAGCAUUAUAAGGCAUCCAAAGGGGUAAGAAACAACAUAUUCCCAAGUGAAAAGCAACCAGCAGAACCAGAUUCAGAUAUAACAUAAAUAAUGGAACAAUUUCACCUGAAUCUUAAAAUAAUUAUGAUUAAAAUACUAAAGUGCUAAUGGAAAACGUAGACAGUAGUCAACAUCAGGUAGGUUUAAAAUGCUUCUUCAAGGUAAUUUCAGCAAAGAAAUAAAAAUCAUGAGAAAAAUCUAAAGGAAAUUCUAGAAAUAAAAAAUAAUGUAAGUAUUCCAUGAAAAAUUUUUACUAGAAAAACAAAAAUUACUUACAAUGAGGAAGGAAAAAUAAAGAUUUUCACAAACAGAAACUUUGGUACUUAAUCAUCCUUUUGUCUACUCGACAGGAAAUGCGAAGGAAUUAAUGAGGCCAAACAAAUAUGAUAGAUUAAAAAAUGGAUGCACACGAAGAAAUUAGAAGCAUUGUAAUAAGCAUAGCUGAAGAUAAAAUAGAAUUUAUGUUUUUCCUAUUAUAAAUAAUUGACUGCAUAAAGCAAAAGUAGUAAUACUGUAUUAUCUUUUUAUGAUAUACGCAAAAGUAAAUUUUAUGGCAAUAGUAUGAGUGAUGGGAGAGAGAAAUUGAGUAUUUAAUAUAGGAAAGUCAUUGCAUUAUACAUGAGGUAGUAUACCUUCAUCUGAAGGUAGAAUUUGAUUAUGUAUAGACAUUAUAGACAUAUAUUUUAAACUCAACAACGGAAGCUUUUGGGGAGAGGUGGUUAUAAAUAGUAAGUCAAAAGGACAAGAUAAAAUUGAGUCUUUAAAAAAAUGCUCACUUGGAAUUCCCAUUGUGGCUCAGUGGUAAAGGACCUGGCUAAUAUCCAUGAGGAUAUAGAUUCAAUCCCUGGCCUUGCUCAGUGGCUUAAGGAUCCAGCCUUGCCAUGAGCUGUUGUGUAGGUCACAGAUGUGGCUCAGAUCAUGCAUUGCUGUGGCUGUGGUAUAGUCCAGGAACUUCCAUAUGUUGCACAUGAGGCCCUGAAAAAAGAAAAAAAAAUCUAAUUUUACCUAAGAGAAUUUUAACUGGAUAUUCAACAGAAAUAUACCUAAAUAUAUAAUAAAAAAAUGAGACAUGAAGGAAAAUAUUCAUAUGAACUUUAUGAAUAGUAAACCCCCAAACUGAAAUAAUUCAAAUGUCUAUUAAUAGUAAAUGCUUGAAUAAAUUGAGGUUAAUUCACAUAAAAUGGCAAUUAUACAACAAUGAAAAUGAACUAUCCUGAAAAGUGUUUGCCCGUAGUUGCCAAUAACAUAAGGAUACCUAUUACAUUGGCUUCAACAUAUUUUGUUAAAAGUAGGCACAUCUAAUAUGUCAGUCCAUAGUACUUUACAAAACCUUUGACAAAGAAUUUUUCACUUUUGUCCUUAUGUAUCUGUGAGUAACGUCAUUUUCCAGUUUUUUUUUUUUUUAAGUUAACGUUGCAAUUAUAUCAUGAAAGGAAGGUGAGGUUAGUUAUGAAAAUAGACAUGGAGUGAAGGGUUGCUUGGUUUUGAUAAUAUCCACUUUAUGACAUAGAUAAAAGAGUAUAAAGUGUCCAUUUGCAGCAAUAUGUCAAGUACAAUGUUCUGCAUACAUGUUAUGUGCAUUUAAAACAUUGCAAAAUGAUGGAAAGGCAUUUUCACAAAUAGAGUUAUUUUACGCAUAUACAGCUAUGCAUACUCUGUUUCUUGCAUGAAAAUAUACUCUGCGUCAUGUAUAGUAUCUUUUUUAUUUUAUAGACAAUAUCUUUAAAAAUCCUUCAUAUUAGUUUAUAAUUAUGUACCAAGUUCAUCCCAUUUUUUAAAAAACUUUUAUAUUUCUUUAAGAGAAAGCAAGUGUCUUGAAUUAGAAUGUGUGAUUUGUUAGAUAUGUAUUUAUUGUGCAUGAAAAUGCAUUACACAUUGUGUUCACAGGUUGAUAUCUAAUUAGAAAUUCAUUCCUUUAUGAAUGUCCCAUAAUUUAGUUUCCCAGUUCUCUAAUGAAGCAUCUUGGGAUUUUUCAGAUUUUUGUCAAUACAAAUAGUCUUGUGGAUAUUGAUGUGAAUGAUAAAUGUCCAGAAAUGAAAUUGCUCAUUAAAAAAAAAGCAUUACAGUAGUCCUCUGGCUUGGCUGCAGAUAAAUUCCAAGACCUCCAAUGAAUGCCUGAAACCAUGGAUGUACCACACCCAGGACAUAAGUGUUUUUCCUAUAUGUACAUACCUAUUAUAAAGUUUACAUUAUAAAUUAGGCACAGUAAGAGAUCAACAAAUAUCAGUAAAAUAGAACAAUUAUAGAAAUAUAUUGUAAUAAAAGUGAUGGGAAUGUCACCUCUUUCUCUCUCUCUCUCAAAAUUUCUUAUUGUACAAAUUUGGUACUCUUCCAUCUUAAACAUUUACAAGGUACUGUGGCCUUAACCUUUGUGGUGUGAGGUGUAACAGCAAAACUAACCCAAGUUUCUUUUUCCUUCUUCAUAAUUUCACAGAUAGAAGAUUAAUUCUCCUUAUAUAAAUCUUAGCAACCUCAACAUAGGGGGUUUUUUGGUCUUGAUUGAGAACAAUCACCUUUUCAUUUAAAGGAUGCACUUUAUGGCUUCUCCCUGGCAUAUCCAAAAUCGCCGGCAUCACUAUCCUUGUCCAUCAGGGCCACUGUUAAGCAAAAUAAGAGUGACUUGAAAACAAGCACUAUAAUACCAUGACUGUCGAUCCGAUGGUGGGAGACAGCUGCUCUCCAGGGGAAAACACUGGACAAAGGGAUGAUUCUCAUCCCUGGUAAAACUAAUUGUGAGGGUGUAAGAUUUCAUCAUAUUACUCAGAACAGUGGUCUACCAUACAAAACAUAUGGGUUGUUUAUUUCUGAUAUUUUCCACUUAAAAUAUCUGGAUCAUGAUUGAGCACGGGUGACUGAAACACCCGAAAGCAAAACAGUGGAUAGGGGAGGACAACAGUACAAAUUUUGAUAAUACAAAAUUCUUCUUAAUUGAUUAAUCAUCCCUUCCCAUCAGUCUUACAAAUGGUAACCACUUUCAAAUAGUCUCUCAAAGCUAGAUAAUUAGCAGUGAGGAUUUUUAAAUCUAAUAGGUAAAAGUUGGUAUAACAGAAUUUAAAGGUACAGUCACUGUAUUAAGGUAGAGAUUAGGCAUACAUUAACAUUUAUAAAUAACAUGUUUUGGCAUAGAUAGUUUUACCUCUUUUCACAUUUGAUAACUUUUCUACAUGGAUUUUUAACUUUUUCUUAUUUGUUUUCUAUGCAAUAUUGAAAACAUAAGAAGUCACUAUGAGAGAUGCUGUCCUUUUGUAUUUUUAACAUUAAUAUGUAAUAUAUUGGAGCGACAUAAGCUUACUAUUGCUGCCAGAUGUAUAUCAGGACCUUAAUACUAGUUAUUUUACAAUGUCUCUCUCUAUUCAUUCUCCAGUGUGUGAAGAAACUAUGCUGCACAUGCAUGCAGAACAAAAAAAAAAACCAAAAUUUGAGCAAUAUAAAGGAAUUCUUAAUUCUAGACACACAGUUACUUGAGAUGUUUUGUUAUUGUACAUCUUUGAUUAAAACCUAACUGAAUUGCUUGAUAUUUACUAGGCUUGGAUGUACAAUUAUUCUUAACAUUCUUGAAACUCUUAACAAAUAAUAGCUUUACAAUUGUAAAUACUAAUACCAAUAAUAAUAAAAAUAAUAGCAAAUACAACAUCAGGUAUCUUACAGGGAUUUCAAGUCAGGUCUAAAUGACUUUAUUAAGAAAUGAAUUUAGGGAGUUCCCGUCGUGGCGCAGUGGUUAAUGAAUCAGACUAGGAACCAUGAGGUUUCAGGUUCAAUCCCUGGCCUUGCUCAGUGGGUUAAGGAUCCGGCGUUGCUGUGAGCUGUGGUGUGGGUCACAGAUGUGGCUCGGAUCCCACAUUGCUGUGGCUCUAGCGUAGGCCAGCAGCAACAGCUCCAAUUAGACCCCUAGCCUGGGAACCUCUGGCCUUGCUCAGUGGGUUAAAAAUCUGGCAUUGCCAUGAUCUGUGGUGUAGGUCACGGAAGCAGCUCAAUCUUGCAUUUUUGUGGCUGUGGCGUAGGGUGGUGGCUAGAGCUCCAACUGGACCCUUAGCCUGGGAACCUCCAUAUGCUG
rnacentral:lncRNA from 1 species